rnacentral:rRNA from 1 species
GACGAACCGUGCGAACGUUGUUCGGAUUCACUGGGCUUAAAGGGCGCGUAGGCGGGCUGUCAAGUCUGUGGUGAAAUCCUCCGGCUUAACCGGAGAAGUGCCGUGGAUACUGGCAGUCUCGAGGGGUGCAGGGGCAUGCGGAACUUCCGGUGGAGCGGUGAAAUGCGUAGAUAUCGGAAGGAACGCCGGUGGCGAAAGCGGCGUGCUGGACACCUACUGACGCUGAGGCGCGAAAGCCAGGGGAGCAAACGGG